ACGAUAGUUGGAGGAAGGUGGGGAUGACGUCAAAUCAGUCAUGCCCCGUACGCCCUGGGCUACACACAUACUACAAUGCAGAGUGCAGACGGAUGCCAAGCCGUGAGGUGGAGCUAAUCCGCGAAGGCUCUGCUCAGUGCAGAUUGCAGGCUGCAACUCGCCUGCAUGAAGGCGGAAUCGCUAGUAACCGUCGGUCAGCAUUACGACGGUGAAUACGUUCCCGGGCCUU
rnacentral:rRNA from 1 species